GCCGAUGUGGUGAAAUUGGUAUACACGCUAUCUUGAGGUGGUAGUGGCUUAUAGCUGUGUGGGUUCGAGUCCCAUCGUCGGCACCA
rnacentral:tRNA from 1 species